rnacentral:rRNA from 1 species
GAUGAACGCUAGCGGCAGGCCUAACACAUGCAAGUCAGGGGGUAACAUAGAAAAGCUUGCUUUUCUGAUGACGACCGGCGCACGGGUGCGUAACGCGUAUACAACCUACCUUUUAGCGGGGAAUAGCCCAGGGAAACUUGGAUUAAUGCCCCAUAGUAUAUGGACUUCUCCUGAAGUUUAUAUUUAAACAUUUAUGGCUAUUAGAUGGGUAUGCGUCCUAUUAGUUAGUUGGUAAGGUAACGGCUUACCAAGGCAGCGAUAGGUAGGGGUCCUGAGAGGGAGAUCCCCACACUGGUACUGAGACACGGACCAGACUCCUACGGGAGGCAGCAGUGAGGAAUAUUGGACAAUGGGCGAGAGCCUGAUCCAGCCAUGCCGCGUGCAGGAAGACUGCCCUAUGGGUUGUAAACUGCUUUUACAGAGGAAGAACCACCCCCACGUGUGGGGGUUUGACGGUACUCUGCGAAUAAGGAUCGGCUAACUCCGUG